ACAUCCCUAAAAUUACUCUAGCAAAUUUCCAAAAUUAUGCUUAAUAACUAAAUAGGAAUACAUGAAAUAUAAACAUAGACAUUCCAGAACUCUCCCUCUUAACUUGGAGUAUAGAAUCUCAUCAAUUCCGACAUUUCCCCUUGAUGAUAUUAUUAUUGGAGCCAAUAACUCUUGCGUAACACUAUUUGAGAAAUUGUGAACUGAAGAAUUUUGGGAAAAUUUUGAGUAUUUUUGUAUUUCACUCUUGAUCUUUACAAUUGGUCUACAUGACUAUUUAUACACAGAGAAUCAUAUCUAAACAGGAAGUAAAUAAUCAAAUAAUAAUUACAGAGAUAAUUAAGGAUCCUAAUUAGAUCAAAUCAAAUCUCUAGAAUCAGUUAGGAUUAGUUAAAUAAGUCAACAUGAACUAUAAGACAGACAACUAAAUUUCACUCCUCUUCCCUGAACUAAGGUAUUGCA
rnacentral:lncRNA from 1 species